GAUGAACGCUGGCGGCGUGCCUAAUACAUGCAAGUCGAGCGAACAGACGAGGAGCUUGCUCCUCUGACGUUAGCGGCGGACGGGUGAGUAACAUGUGGAUAACCUACCUAUAAGACUGGGAUACCUUCGGGAAACCGGUGCUAAUACCUGAUAAUUUAUUGAACCGCAUGGUUCCAUAGUGAAAGACGGUUUUGCUGUCACUUAUAGAUGGAUCCGCGCCGCAUUAGCUAGUUGGUAAGGUAACGGCUUACCAAGGCAACGAUGCGUAGCCGACCUGAGAGGGUGAUCGGCCACACUGGAACUGAGACACGGUCCAGACUCCUACGGGAGGCAGCAGUAGGGAAUCUUCCGCAAUGGGCGAAAGCCUGACGGAGCAACGCCGCGUGAGUGAUGAAGGUCUUCGGAUCGUAAAACACUGUUAUUAGGGAAGAACAAAUGUGUAAGUAACUAUGCACGUCUUGACGGUACCUAAUCAGAAAGCCACGGCUAACUACGUG
rnacentral:rRNA from 1 species